rnacentral:rRNA from 1 species
CGUACACUCCUACGGGAGGCAGCAGUGGGGAAUUUUGGACAAUGGGCGAAAGCCUGAUCCAGCCAUGCCGCGUGCAGGAUGAAGGCCUUCGGGUUGUAAACUGCUUUUGUACGGAACGAAACGGCCUUUUCUAAUAAAGAGGGCUAAUGACGGUACCGUAAGAAUAAGCACCGGCUAACUACGUGCCAGCAGCCGCGGUAAUACGUAGGGUGCAAGCGUUAAUCGGAAUUACUGGGCGUAAAGCGUGCGCAGGCGGUUAUGUAAGACAGUUGUGAAAUCCCCGGGCUCAACCUGGGAACUGCAUCUGUGACUGCAUAGCUAGAGUACGGUAGAGGGGGAUGGAAUUCCGCGUGUAGCAGUGAAAUGCGUAGAUAUGCGGAGGAACACCGAUGGCGAAGGCAAUCCCCUGGACCUGUACUGACGCUCAUGCACGAAAGCGUGGGGAGCAAACAGGAUUAGAAACCCGGGUAGUCCCAUG